CUUUUAUGAUGAAACAAAUGUUAUCAGUUCUGCUUCUGAACGUCAUGAAGAUAACCAAAUUACCAAGCUCUAGAAUUACUCUGAGAA
rfam:Pichia sorbitophila strain CBS 7064 chromosome J complete sequence.